AUACGGAGGAUCCGAGCGUUAUCCGGAUUUAUUGGGUUUAAAGGGAGCGUAGGCGGACGCUUAAGUCAGUUGUGAAAGUUUGCGGCUCAACCGUAAAAUUGCAGUUGAUACUGGGUGUCUUGAGUACAGUAGAGGCAGGCGGAAUUCGUGGUGUAGCGGUGAAAUGCGUAGAUAUCACGAAGAACUCCGAUUGCGAAGGCUGCUUGCUGGACUGUAACUGACGCUGAUGCUCGAAAGUGUGGGUAUCAAACAGGAUUAGAUACCCUGGUAGUCCACACAGUAAACGAUGAAUACUCGCUGUUUGCGAUAUACAGUAAGCGGCCAAGCGAAAGCGUUAAGUAUUCCACCUGGGGAGUACGCCGGCAACGGUGAAACUCAAAUGAAUUGACGGGG
rnacentral:rRNA from 1 species